GAUGAACGCUGGCGGCAUGCCUAAUACAUGCAAGUCGAGCGAACAGACGAGGAGCUUGCUCCUCUGACGUUAGCGGCGGACGGGUGAGUAACACGUGGAUAACCUACCUAUAAGACUGGGAUAACUUCGGGAAACCGGAGCUAAUACCGGAUAAUAUAUUGAACCGCAUGGUUCAAUAGUGAAAGACGGUUUUGCUGUCACUUAUAGAUGGAUCCGCGCCGCAUUAGCUAGUUGGUAAGGUAACGGCUUACCAAGGCAACGAUGCGUAGCCGACCUGAGAGGGUGAUCGGCCACACUGGAACUGAGACACGGUACAGACUCCUACGGGAGGCAGCAGAAGGGAAUCUUCCGCAAUGGGCGAAAGCCUGACGGAGCAACGCCGCGUGAGUGAUGAAGGUCUUCGGAUCGUAAAACUCUGUUAUUAGGGAAGAACAAAUGUGUAAGUAACUAUGCACGUCUUGACGGUACCUAAUCAGAAAGCCACGGCUAACUACGUG
rnacentral:rRNA from 1 species